UGAGAAGCCAGACCCGGGUGUGUUGUCACUGCCAGGCCAAUCCACGGGUGGUAGGGUUUGUAGCGCUGCGAUAGCAGUGGCAAGCAAGGGCAAUAGUAGACGCAUCAUUGCUUCUGCGCAAGGAGAAAAGCCUAAGUGAUGGGGCAGCUGUUGCUUGCAUUUGCAUCGAGUAGCACAGGCAUUGUUGGCCUUUUAUAGGAAAGGCUGUUUGAAAAUAGUGAAGGACCCAUAGCUUCGGCAUUCAGUAAGUGGAUUGUGACACAGCGAAGCAAGCUGUGCGACAAAAAAAUGUCGUAUGCAGCUAAGGUGCUAGCAGAGCUCCACCAGGCGUGGGGGUGCUCCCGUUAUCCGGGGUAAGGCCCAGAUAGGUAACAUCCAGGUCACACCGACAGGAACACCGAUCUGCAAGUCUGAUGAAACUCUUAGACGGUGGUCUGUCUUUGCAUGUAACUCAUGGACCUUUCGUCCAAUGAUUGAAAUUCUCCGCCUUCUUCUACCCCGCAGAGGUUCUGGAAAACAACCCCCACGUCAGGGGAUGUGGAGAAUCCAGGCAAAAACUACCUGGACUUGAAACAAGUUGAAAGACAAUUGUAGUCUUGGGGGCUCGUGGGGGUUAUACGGGCAAUGGAAUUCAACAGGAAAUUUUAUCUCCCCACAUAUGUUCAAAAUGACGAUGUUCAUGAUGAGAACUUACAUGUCAACAAAGUUGGGGUCGAGACGCAUUCCUAUGGGGAUUUACCACUGCAUCAAAGGGGCCAAUAUUUCAAGUAAGGUAACCAUUUUAAGAUAUGGUAUAUAAGAGACUGGUAUAUAAGUUUUUCAUCCAUCUGACAAUUACUCACCGGAG
rnacentral:sRNA from 1 species